rnacentral:rRNA from 1 species
CCUACGGGAGGCUGCAGUGGGGAAUAUUGGACAAUGGGGGCAACCCUGAUCCAGCCAUGCCGCGUGUGUGAAGAAGGCCCUCGGGUUGUAAAGCACUUUCAGUGAGGAAGAACGCCUGGUGGUUAAUACCCAUCAGGAAAGACAUCACUCACAGAAGAAGCACCGGCUAACUCCGUGCCAGCAGCCGCGGUAAUACGGAGGGUGCGAGCGUUAAUCGGAAUUACUGGGCGUAAAGCGCGCGUAGGUGGCUUGAUAAGCCGGUUGUGAAAGCCCCGGGCUCAACCUGGGAACGGCAUCCGGAACUGUCAAGCUAGAGUGCAGGAGAGGAAGGUAGAAUUCCCGGUGUAGCGGUGAAAUGCGUAGAGAUCGGGAGGAAUACCAGUGGCGAAGGCGGCCUUCUGGACUGACACUGACACUGAGGUGGGAAAGCGUGGGUAGCAAACAGGAUUAGAUACCCGUGUAGUC